AUACGGAGGGUGCAAGCGUUACUCGGAAUCACUGGGCGUAAAGGGCGCGCAGGCGGUUUGGUAAGUCAGAUGUGAAAGCCCACGGCUCAACCGUGGAAGUGCAUUUGAAACUGUCAGACUUGAGUACUAGAGGGGAAAGUGGAAUUCCCGGUGUAGAGGUGAAAUUCGUAGAUAUCGGGAGGAAUACCGGUGGCGAAGGCGACUUUCUGGCUAGAUACUGACGCUGAGGCGCGAAAGCGUGGGGAGCAAACAGGAUUAGAAACCCCAGUAGUCC
rnacentral:rRNA from 1 species